GAUGAACGCUGGCGGCGGGCCUAAUACAUGCAAGUCGAGCGAACACACAAUGAGCUCUCGCCUCUGCCGUUAGCGGCGGACGGGUGGGUAACACGUACAUCACCUACCUAUUUUACUUGGAUAACUUCGUGAAGCCGGAUCUAAUAACGGAUAAUAUAUUCAACCGGUUAAUUCAAUAGUUAAUCACGGUUUUGCUGUCUCUUAUAGAUGGAGCCGUGUCGCAUUAGCUAGUUGGUAAGGUAACGGCUUACCAAGGCGACGAUGCGUAGCCGACCUGAGAGGGUGAUCGGCCACACUGGAACUGGGACACGGUCCAGACUCCUACGGGAGGCAGCAGUAGGGAAUAUUCCGCAAUGGGCGAAAGCCUGACGCAGCAACGCCGCGUGAGUGAUGAAGGUCUUCGGGUUGUAAAGCUCUGUUGUUAGGAAAGAAAAAAUGUAGAAGAAAAUAUCGCUGUCCUGACGGUACCCAAAGAGAAAGCACCGGCUAACUUCGUG
rnacentral:rRNA from 1 species